rnacentral:sRNA from 1 species
CGUUCCUGCGGGCCGCGGAUGGCGGUGGAUUGAGUGAGAGGCCCGAGCCAGGAGGGCGCUGUGUGGCCGGGUUCCAAGUGAAGCGCAGAGAGAUGGGCACCAGGCGCCCCUUCUGUCCCGGAAAAGGCGUUUGUGAGCAUUUGUCGGUCAACGGAAUUAGUAAACGUGUUUGUCGCUGAUGGCAUCUUCAAAGCUGAACUGAAUGAGUUUCUUACUCGGGAGCUGGCUGAAGAUGGCUACUCUGGAGUUGAGGUGCGAGUUACACCAACCAGGACAGAAAUCAUUAUCUUAGCCACCAGAACACAGAAUGUUCUUGGUGAGAAGGGCCGGCGGAUUCGGGAACUGACUGCUGUAGUUCAGAAGAGGUUUGGCUUUCCAGAGGGCAGU